rnacentral:lncRNA from 1 species
ACCAAUCACAAAGCAACAAUCAAAACAGGGUGUGAAACCAAACGUAAGCUAGCACGUAAUAGCAGUUUGGAUUAAGUAAGAAUAAAGGGAGAAAUGAACUUUAAGCUGAAUCGAAACAAACUUUAAUGUCGAAUUAAUGAAAUAGCUUCUUGCAAGUUUAAGCAGCAUCAAUGUUGUUAAUGAAUGAAACAGGAAUUAAAAUUCGACAAUAGCACUUCAAAUCUACAGCAGAAAUGCGAAUCUGCCCCAAAACCUUGAACCUGACACCAACUCCUGACUAAAACUCCUUGAGUUAAAACUAAAUGUUGAAAUCGAAAGAGGAGAUUGAAACGUAUUAUUUUUUUUGAAUUCAAACGCCAACUGCCUUAAACCUUUGAAAACAUUAUCCUUUCAUUUGUUUGUGUUCAUCCUUGAAAUUGUGAAGAAAAGUAGACGUAAAAUUAGAAGAGUAAUCAAAGUCUAUCUAAAAUUCUUCUCCAUUUUUGUUGUUUUUUCCGUGACCCCCUUCUCUUUUCUAUCUCAUUUUUUUCAAUUGCAGGUGCGGUUGCUGUUGAACGAUGACGGGGCUGGUUGGUCGACUGGUUGAUAUUCACAGGCGGUGGACUGGUGAGGCUGGAGAUGACUGGAGGAAGGUCGUCUUUGGUGGUGGGUGGAACAAUGACCGUGGUUUUGAGAUUUUGGGCGUUGGUUUGGUUGGAGAGGAGUAGGGGUUGUUGGUUGGUGUUGAAGGAGUCGCCGGUGUGUAGGUUGCUGGCUGGCGGGCGGCGCUGGUUUUGUGCAGAACGGUUGGAGGGGUUCAAGAUGAUGAUGGAGCAAUGACCGUGGUUUUGAGAUUUUGGGCGUUGGUUUGGUUGGAGAGGAGUAGGGGUUGUUGGUUGGUGUUGAAGGAGUCGCCGGUGUGUAGGUUGCUGGCUGGCGGGCGGCGCUGGUUUUGUGCAGAACGGUUGGAGGUGUUCAAGAUGAUGAUGGAGAACAGCUGUUAUGUCUGUAAGAGAUGAGGUGUGGGAUUGAGCGGUCAAUGGUGUCUGGUCGGGGUGUGGUCGGCGGAGAUGAAUGGAGAUGGAGAAGCAAGGGUCGACUCGUUGGAGUUUCUUUGAAUAGAGAUAGGGUCGCUGGUGGAGUGGACGGCUACUGUCGGCUGCUCCUUCUCCUAGAGUUCUAGGAUUUUUUUUUGAUAAUGUAUAGGUUAAUAUGUUUAGACCCCUUGGAGAAGACGAAGACUUAGGGUUUUUAUGGGUUUAGGGUGUUGGUUCUAAUUUGGGCUAAAAAAAAUUCUAUAAAAUUGGACUAAGAAAAAACU